AUCAAGUGGUGAACAGGAGUUCACCAGGAUCAGGGAUGAUCGACCAUCGCCUAGGAGGCAGCCGACAGGGAGUCGGAAUGGUCUUGGGAAAACCUGCUUCGGCGGGUUUUUU
rfam:Pseudomonas syringae pv. pisi str. 1704B contig17.12, whole genome shotgun sequence.